rfam:Citrus sinensis cultivar Ridge Pineapple sweet orange scaffold00337_contig_7, whole genome shotgun sequence.
GAGAGAAGAGGCUGUCAGCUUAGCCAAGGAGACUGCCUGGCUGUCUACAGCAGCUUUAAUUGAUGAUGGUGAAACCUAGCUAGCAAUAUUGGAAGCCGCAGGCAAGUCAUCCCUGGCUACCAAACAGUAUUCUUAUCU